GACGAACGCUGGCGGUAUGCUUAACACAUGCAAGUCGAGCGCGAAAGUGACUUCGGUCAUAAGUAGAGCGGCGGACGGGUGAGUAACACGUGGAUAAUCUGCCUUUAGGACUGGGAUAACCCUGGGAAACUAGGGCUAAUACCGGAUAAGACCACAGGUUCCAUGGAACCAGGGGUAAAAGGCGGCCUUCGGGCUGUCGCCGAAAGAUGAGUCCGCGUCCCAUCAGGUAGUUGGUGAGGUAACGGCNCACCAAGCCGAAGACGGGUAGCCGACCUUAGCGGGUGAUCGGCCACACGGGGACUGAGACACGGCCCCGACUCCUACGGGAGGCAGCAGUGGGGAAUCUUGGGGCAAUGGGCGCAAGCCUGACCCAGCAAUACCGCGUGAGGGAUGAAGGCCUUC
rnacentral:rRNA from 1 species